rnacentral:lncRNA from 1 species
GCCGCGGUGUGAGGGAGCGGGAGUCUUCCUUAGCUUCUCCGCCAUGGGUGUCGCUUCGUAGCCGGGCUGCUCCGGGAAAGGCCUCGUACAGCACGCAUUCACCAGAAUCCUGUCAGCUUUCCUCUUCUCAUCCAGACGCCUGGCCAGGAUCCUCGAUAAGACCGUGACCCCCAACUUGGACACCCCAUAAGGCUGGAGUGCAGUGGCACAAUCUUGGCUCACUGCAACCUCCGACUUCCGGGUUCAAGCAAUUCUCCUGCCUCAGCCUCCCAAGUAGCUGGGACUACAGGUGCCCACCACCACGCCCAGCUAAUUUUUGUAAUUUUAGUAGAGAUGGGGUUUUGCCAUGUUGGCCAGGCUGGUAUUGAACUCCUGACCUGAAGUGAUCUGCCCACCUCGGCCUCCCAAAGUGCUGGAAUUACAGGCGUGAGCCACUACACCUGGCCUAAAAUUUUUUUAUUUUGUUUUGUGAGACAGAGUCUUGUUUUGUUGCCUAGGCUGCAGUGCAGUGGCACAAUCUCGGCUCACUGCAACCUCCGCCUCCCAGGAUCAAGUGAUUCUACUGCUUCAGCCUCCCAAAGUGCUGGAAUUACAGGCGUGAGCCACUACACCUGGCCUAAAAUUUUUUUAUUUUGUUUUGUGAGACAGAGUCUUGUUUUGUUGCCUAGGCUGCAGUGCAGUGGCACAAUCUCGGCUCACUGCAACCUCCGCCUCCCAGGAUCAAGUGAUUCUACUGCUUCAGCCUCCCAAAGUGCUGGAAUUACAGGCGUGAGCCACUACACCCGGCCUAAAAAUUUUUUAUUUUGUUUUGUGAGACAGUCUUGUUUUGUUGCCUAGGCUGCAGUGCAGUGGCACAAUCUCGGCUCACUGCAACCUCCGCCUCCCAGGAUCAAGUGAUUCUACUGCUUCAGCCUCCCAAGUAGCUGGGAUGAAGGUGUGUGCCACCAUGCCCAGCUAAUUUUUGUAUUUUUUUAGUAGAGAUGAGGUUUCACCAUGUUGGCCAUACUGGGCUUGAACUCCUGACCUCAAGAGAUCCGCCCGCUUUGGCCUCCCAAAGUGCUAGGAUUACAGGUGUGAGCCACCGUGUGCCCAGCCCGCUGGCAGUUUUAUAAAACUGCUCCUCCCCAGCAUACACACUCCAAGUACUUAUAAACCUGCUUUCUGAGGGACAGUGCUCUCACCCUAAGGACUAAAGCUCUCAAUUUCCUAGGCACACCCAAUGUCCUAGGACAGUGGGCAGCCACCCCAAUUCCUUAGUGCCACAACCAGCAGUAAGGAAUCCCUGGGGAUGACUCUGUCUGUCCUUCAUUAUGGACACUUCACGUGUGGAAUGGGCUGUUUUUCCAUCCUGGUUUUUAUCUCAUCACUUUUUUUUUUUUUUUUUUUUUGAGACAGAAUCUCACUCUGCCAGCCAAGCUGGAGUGCAGUGGCAUGAUCUCGGCUCACUGUAGCCUCCACUUCCCAGACUCAAGUGAUCCUCCUGUCUCAGCCCCACAAAUAACUGGGCCCACAGGCACAC